rnacentral:rRNA from 1 species
ACGGGAGGCAGCAGUGGGGAAUAUUGGGCAAUGGGGGAAACCCUGACCCAGCAACGCCGCGUGAAGGAAGAAGGCUUUCGGGUUGUAAACUUCUUUUACCAGGGACGAAGGACGUGACGGUACCUUAUGAAUAAGCCACGGCUAACUACGUGCCAGCAGCCGCGGUAAUACGUAGGUGGCAAGCGUUAUCCGGGUUUACUGGGUGUAAAGGGCGCGUAGGCGGGGAUGCAAGUCAGAUGUGAAAUCCAUGGGCUUAACCCAUGAACUGCAUUUGAAACUGUAUCUCUUGAGUGCUGGAGAGGUAGACGGAAUUCCUUGUGUAGCGGUGAAAUGCGUAGAUAUAAGGAAGAACACCAGUGGCGAAGGCGGUCUACUGGACAGUAACUGACGCUGAGGCGCGAAAGCGUGGGGAGCAAACAGGAUUAGAUACCCUGGUA